rnacentral:rRNA from 1 species
AUUGAACGCUGGCGGCAGGCCUAACACAUGCAAGUCGAGCGAGCGGCGGACGGGUGAGUAAUGUAUUGGGAUCUGCCCUAUAUAGGGGGAUCACUCCUGGAAACGGUGGCUAAUCCCGCAUAAUAUCGGAUGAACCCAUAUGGGGUUAGCUAGUAGGUGGGGUAAAGGCGCACCUAGGCGACGAUCUCUAGCUGGGCUGAGAGGAUGAUCAGCCACACUGGGACUGAGACACGGCCCAGACUCCUACGGGAGGCAGCAGUGGGGAAUAUUGCACAAUGUGCGCAAGCCUGAUGCAGCCAUGCCGCGUGUAUGAAGAAGGCCUUAGGUUUGUAAAGUACUUUCAGCGGGGAGGCGUUACCCGCAGAAGAAGCACCGGCUAACUCCGUGCCAGCAGCCGCGGUAAUAC